ACCAGGAUGGUGUAGAGGAAAGCAUAGCAGCCGUCCAGCUGCAGACCUGGGUUCAAUUCCCAGUCUUGGAA
rnacentral:tRNA from 1 species